rnacentral:rRNA from 1 species
UGGGGAAUCUUGCACAAUGGGGGCAACCCUGAUGCAGCGACGCCGCGUGAGCGAUGAAGCCCUUCGGGGUGUAAAACUCUUUCGGCAGGAACGAUAAUGACGGUACCUGCAGAAGAAGCUGCGGCUAACUACGUGCCAGCAGCCGCGGUAAUACGUAGGCAGCAAGCGUUGUUCGGAGUUACUGGGCGUAAAGAGUGUGUAGGCGGUUCUCUAAGUUCCGUGUGAAAUCUCCCGGCUCAACUGGGAGGGUGCGCGGAAAACUGGAGGGCUUGAGUAUGGGAGAGGAAAGCGGAAUUCCUGGUGUAGCGGUGAAAUGCGUAGAUAUCAGGAGGAACACCUGCGGUGUAGACAGCUUUCUGGACCAUCACUGACGCUGAGACACGAAAGCGUGGGUAGCAAACAG